AAAGAGCUGAGAACAAGUACAGGUCACCUUAUGCUUUGUCACCUAAAAACGCAUACCUGAUGGCUUUAUGAAGGUGGUACGUUAAUAUUAAGUUUACAGAAAGCGAUCGCUAAGUCCGUGACUUAUGUAAAUCACGAUGUACGCAUUCAUGCAAUAAAGGAUGACGCGAAUUUCGGUUUCGAAUCUGUUUUUUGGAUGCGUAGUAGUUUCGUUUGACAUGCGAUCGCGCGUCGACAUCGGACGCUAUGACACACUCGUGCCUUAUGUGCCACCGAAGCCCCGAAGUGGUCUGGCAUAUACCUUCACAUGUUUCCCUUCAGUAGGAAAUUGCUGGACAGGCGGACCAGCGCACCGGAAUUGUACUGGCGAAGCCACAAGCAACUCAAAGAAUCUGUUUAAUUGUUGCACUUCGAACAAUCAUGCUUCUACAAAGGCCACAGCAGAAAAACAGCCUGAUGACCGAGUAUUUCUGUGCCACGAAGUAAUCAAGAGGCGAGUGCCUAAUGCGGACGAAAUAGAGUGCAUCGAGACUUAGAACGACAGAAAGCUGAGCUAGUUCGUAAGGAUUCAUUAUGCAAAACAGAGGUGAGGCGUGCAGACAGGACACAAGAGUAGAGAAGUGGGCGGCGCGCAUGUUGUUUGCUUGUAAAUACUCUACUCUUGUUUCCUGUCUGCACGCCUCACCUCCGUUUUGCAUAACGAGUGCAUCAAGCCACAUAUUAAUAGCUUAGGCGUUUUAUUAACUGUGCAAUAUUUUCAACACUUCCUUGCAUGCCAUUUCAUGUGGCAUAUCUUUUCUGGUCACAAAUUUGUGCAGCGAAUCUAUUUGCAUGAUCGACUCCGGGCCUGUGGGACCGUUCACUUGCACUUGAUGCUGAGUCUUUUACAUGUACCCAUAAAUUGCAGAUAUGCACAUCAGAUCCCUGCGAGCACUUUCAAAAUUCAAUUAUUUUCGACAACAGGCACAUAUGCAAUACUGACAUAAUCCGGAAUACCACUAAGCAGCUGGGACACAUUUUUGUUGACCAUACUCGCAGGUAAAAUAAGUACAUCAUGUGGACAGCUCCAGCUCAUUUUCCUUAAGUCAGUGUGUACAAGGGUUAUGCAAAAAUAAUUUUUUUCUCGCGCACCGAUUAUAUUGCUUUAUAAGCAAGAGAACCCACCACGUUAGUGUAACGUAUCUUGUGCAUCACACUAAUAUGUGCUUUCAUUUACCAAGUGAGAUGAGUUACUUUUAUGGCUCAUUCAUUCAUAUCACACUGCAAGCUGCAUUCAUCAAUCUUCAAUGGGAUUUUGCAAAUGUUUAAUGAAACAUGUUUCCCUUUUAUGCAGAUAUGCAAUGGCAAGCCCUUCCCUGUGUUCCAAAGACAAUGCCUACGCCUAGCCACAGCAGCUCCCUCAUACAGACUCCGCAAACCAAGAGGCCGUGGAGGCAAAUGCAGGCAGCCAGCACACCUCAAACAGCCACCUUGACUGCGGGUGUGUCACCCUAGUCGCCAAGGAAACAUUUGAGGGAAAGUGACAGGCAAUGUGAACAGCCACUUCUCCAUGUAAACAAUACUCUUUCUCUCGGAUGACUCCUACGCCUCACCACGCCAGCACACUUGUGCACAAAGAUGCCGCAGAGGCACGUGCAGGUCAGAGGCAAGAGGCAGUGGCACUGGUGUCGACAUUUACCCAAUUUCUUUCUCUCACACUGAGGCAGCCAGCACACCUCGAACAGCCACCUCGACUGCGGGUGUGUUAGUUGAUCCCUGUUGUACAUAUGCUCAUAAUAAACUUCAGUAAACUUGAACUUCAUAAUAAACUUGAAGGCAAAUGGUA